GAUGAACGCUGGCGGCGUGCUUAACACAUGCAAGUCGAACGGAAAGGCUCCUGCUUGCAGGGGUACUCGAGUGGCGAACGGGUGAGUAACACGUGGGUGAUCUGCCCUGCACUUCGGGAUAAGCCUGGGAAACUGGGUCUAAUACCGGAUAGGACCACAUUUUGGAUGGUGUGGUGGAAAGUUUUUCGGUGUGGGAUGAGCUCGCGGCCUAUCAGCUUGUUGGUGGGGUAAUGGCCUACCAAGGCGUCGACGGGUAGCCGGCCUGAGAGGGUGUACGGGCACAUUGGGACUGAGAUACGGCCCAGACUCCUACGGGAGGCAGCAGUGGGGAAUAUUGCACAAUGGGCGCAAGCCUGAUGCAGCGACGCCGCGGGGGGGAUGAAGGCCUUCGGGUUGUAAACUCCUUUCGCUAGGGACGAAGCGUUUUUGUGACGGUACCUGGAGAAGAAGCACCGGCUAACUACGUG
rnacentral:rRNA from 1 species